AAAGGGAGACCUAAUUCAGGUAAAAGACGAAAAAAAAGUAGUCGCUACCAAGAAUCAAUCCCAAAAGGUCGGAGCGAGGCGAAAUUGGCUUUCAAACUAGGUUCUGGGUUCAAACAAGACCUGAAUCAGGAACAAGGGCUAUUAGCUCAGGUGGUUAGAGCGCACCCUUGAUAAGGGUGAGGUCCCUGGUUCGAGUCCAGGAUGGCCCACCUGCACAGGUGGCAAAAACAAGAGAAGCGAGGAAUCAGCACCUUAUCUUACUUAUAUAGUAAGAGAGAAUGCUGGCUCUGAGUAAAGAGUCCAGAGGAACCUUGAAAACUGCAUAGAGCUAGGUGAAAAAGCCAAAAAAGAAGACCGCAAG
rnacentral:tRNA from 1 species